rnacentral:tRNA from 1 species
GUUCCUGUGGCGCAAUGGAUAGCGCGUUGGACUUCUAAUUCAAAGGUCGUGGGUUCGAAUGCCACCUGGGACG